UACCUUUGGUAUACGUGCUGAGAUCUCGUCAACAAUCAGGUCAAUAAGGCUGAUGGGACUUCCCAGAUAAAUGGAGUG
rnacentral:pre_miRNA from 1 species